AUGGCUGCAAAGCUCCCACUUCUCCUUGUGGUCGUAUUGGUCGCUCUCCUGCUCGUCUCCCAGGAUGUAGCGUCUGCAGCAGGUGAAGAAAAGAUGUCUACGCAACUUCCAGACGGGUAUGGUGGAUAUGGGCCUGGUUACGAUGGUGGCUACGACAACAACGGCGGAGGAGGAGCCGGUCAAAAUGGUGGUGGUGGUGGUGGCAGCGGCUAUCCUUGA
rnacentral:rRNA from 1 species